AUACGUAGGUGGCAAGCGUUGUCCGGAUUUAUUGGGCGUAAAGCGAGCGCAGGCGGUCUCUUAAGUCUGAUGUGAAAGCCCCCGGCUCAACCGGGGAGGGUCAUUGGAAACUGGGAGACUUGAGUGCAGAAGAGGAGAGUGGAAUUCCAUGUGUAGCGGUGAAAUGCGUAGAUAUAUGGAGGAACACCAGUGGCGAAGGCGGCUCUCUGGUCUGUAACGGACGCUGAGGCUCGAAAGCGUGGGGAGCAAACAGGAUUAGAUACCCUGGUAGUCCACGCCGUAAACGAUGAGUGCUAAGUGUUGGAGGGUUUCCGCCCUUCAGUGCUGCAGCUAACGCAUUAAGCACUCCGCCUGGGGAGUACGGCCGCAAGGCUGAAACUCAAAGGAAUUGACGGGG
rnacentral:rRNA from 1 species